GUAUAGGCGAUAGAAAUGCUUAUCCUGGCACAAUAGACAAAGUACCGUAAGGGAAAGAUAAAAGAACUGUAUCAAGCACUAAAAAGCAAAGACAAGCCCUUAUACCUUUUGCAUAAUGUAUUAACUAGAAAUAACUAUACACAGAGAACUUUAGCCAAGUCCCCCGAAACCAGACGAGCUACCCAAGAACAGCUGAAAAAGCACACUCACCUAUGUGGCAAAAUAGUGGGAAGAUUCAUGGGUAGCGGUGACAAGCCUACCGAGCCUGUUGAUAGCUGGUUGUCCAAGAUAGAAUCUUAGUUCGGCUUUAAACUUACCCACAGAAUUACUUAAUCUCCCUGUAAGUUUAACUGUUAGUCUAAAGAUGGACAGCUCUUUAGACCCUAGGAAACAACCUUCCUACAGAGAGUAAAAACUGUUACCACCAUAGUUGGCCCAAAAGCAGCCACCAAUUAAGAAAGCGUUUAAGCUCAACAUCUAAAUCUUAAUUCUAAUCACUCUACUGAACUCCUAACAUCACACUGGACUAAUCUAUUACUUAAUAGAAGCAAUAAUGUUAAUAUAAGUAACAUGAAGACAUUCUCCAUUGCAUAAGCUUACAUCAGACAGGAAUAACCCACUGACAGUUAACAGCCUAAUAUUAGUAACUGAUAUAAUAAGCACCCUAUUAUUGACACUGUUAACCCAACACAGGUAUGCUCUAAGGAGAGAUUACAAAAAGUGAAAGGAACUUGGCAAAUCUUACCCCACUUGUUUACCAAAAACAUCACCUCUAGCAUUACCGGUAUUAGAGGCACUGCCUGCCCACUCACAUAUGUUCAACAGCCACGGUAUCCUGACCAUGCAAAGGUAGCAUAACCACUUGUUCCCUAAAUAGGGACUUGUAUGAAUAGCCAUACGAAGGUUCAGCUGUCUCUUACUUUUAAUCAGUGAAUUUGAUCUAUUCGUGAAGAGGCGGAUAUAAACAAAUGAGAUGAGAAAACCCUAUGGAGCUUUAAUUCAUUAAUGCAAAUAAAAACUCAAACAAGCCUGCAGGCCCUAGCCUACUAUCUGUGGAUUAAAAAUUUUGGUUGGAGUGACCUUGGAGCAUAAUUCAACCUCCAAACAACCUAAACUAAGACCGCACUAGUCUAAGUGAGUUAAUACACAUUGACCCAAUAAUUUGAUCAACGGAGUAAGUUCCCCAGUUCUAGAAUCCAAAUUGACAAUAGAGUUUAUAACCUCAAUGUUGGAUCAGGACAUCCUAAUGGUGUAGCCGCUAUUAAGGGUUUGUUUAGCAGUAGGGACGAGGUUCUAAAACUAAGUAACAUCCUGCCUGCUAUAUACCUCUUUAAUAUGUGGGUAUAUCCUC
rnacentral:ncRNA from 1 species